GUGCCAGCCGCCGCGGUAAUACGUAGGUGGCAAGCGUUGUCCGGAAUUAUUGGGCGUAAAGCGCGCGCAGGCGGUUUCUUAAGUCUGAUGUGAAAGGCCACGGCUUAACCGCGGACGGUCAUUGGAAACUGGGGGACUUGAGGGCAGAAGAGGAGAGUGGAAUUCCACGUGUAGCGGUGAAAUGCGUAGAGAUUUGGAGGAAUACCGGUGGCGAAGGCGGCUUUCUGGUCU
rnacentral:rRNA from 1 species